rnacentral:rRNA from 1 species
UACGAAGGGGGCUAGCGUUGCUCGGAAUUACUGGGCGUAAAGCGCACGUAGGCGGCUUGUUAAGUCAGGGGUGAAAUCCUGGAGCUCAACUCCAGAACUGCCUUUGAUACUGGCGAGCUUGAGUUCGGGAGAGGUGAGUGGAACUGCGAGUGUAGAGGUGAAAUUCGUAGAUAUUCGCAAGAACACCAGUGGCGAAGGCGGCUCACUGGCCCGAUACUGACGCUGAGGUGCGAAAGCGUGGGGAGCAAACGGG